CCUACGGGAGGCAGCAGUGGGGAAUAUUGGGCAAUGGAGGCAACUCUGACCCAGCAACGCCGCGUGAAGGAUGAAGGUCUUAUGAGUUGAAAGUUCUUUGAUUGGGGGUGAACACAAUGACGGUACCCCAAUAGCAAGCCACGGCUAACUACGUGCCAGCAGCCGCGGCAAUACGGAGGUGGCGAGCGUUAUCCGGAAUGACUCGUCGUAAAGGGUGCGUAGGUGGUUUAGUAAGUUGGCGGUGAAAUUGCGGGGCUCAACCCCGGCGCUACCGCCAAAACUAUUAGACUAGAGUUCAGGUGCGGCAGGUGGAAUUAGUAGUGUAGCGGUGGAAUGCGUAGAUAUUAGGCGGAACACCAGGGGCGAAGGCGACUUACUAGACUGUAACUGACGCUGAGGCACGAAAGCGUGGGUAGCGAACAGGAUUAGAUACCCUUGUAGUC
rnacentral:rRNA from 1 species